rnacentral:rRNA from 1 species
GGCAGACGGGUGAGUAACAUGUAGGUAUCUGCCCUUUGGCCUGGAAUAACACGAGGAAACUUGUGCUAAUACCGGAUAAGUCUUUACAGAGAAAGCUUUAUGCACCAUUGGAUGAGCCUGCACUUGAUUAGUUUGUUGGUGGGGUAAUGGCCUACCAAGACUGUGAUCAAUAGCUGAUUUGAGAGGAUGACCAGCCACAUUGGGACUGAGACACGGCCCAAACUCCUACGGGAGGCAGCAGUGGGGAAUCUUGCACAAUGGAGGAAACUCUGAUGCAGCGAUGCCGCGUGAGUGAAGAAGGCCUUUGGGUUGUAAAGCUCUUUCGUCGGGGAAGAAAAUGACUGUACCCGAAUAAGAAGGUCCGGCUAACUUCGUGCCAGCAGCCGCGGUAAUACGAAGGGACCUAGCGUAGUUCGGAAUUACUGGGCUUAAAGAGUUCGUAGGUGGUUGAAAAAGUUGGUGGUGAAAUCCCAGAGCUUAACUCUGGAACUGCCAUCAAAACUUUUCAGCUAGAGUAUGAUAGAGGAAAGCAGAAUUUCUAGUGUAGAGGUGAAAUUCGUAGAUAUUAGAAAGAAUACCAAUUGCGAAGGCAGCUUUCUGGAUCAUUACUGACACUGAGGAACGAAAGCAUGGGUAGCGAAGAGGAUUAGAUACCCUCGUAGUCCAUGCCGUAAACGAUGUGUGUUAGACGUUGGAAAUUUAUUUUCAGUGUCGCAGCGAAAGCGAUAAACACACCGCCUGGGGAGUACGACCGCAAGGUUAAAACUCAAAUGAAUUGACGGGGACCCGCACAAGUAGUGGAGCAUGUGGUUUAAUUCGAAGAUACGCGCAGAACCUUACCAACACUUGACAUGUUCGUCGCGACUCUAAGAGAUUAGAGUUUUCGGUUCGGCCGGACGAAACACAGGUGCUGCAUGGCUGUCGUCAGCUCGUGUCGUGAGAUGUUGGGUUAAGUCCCGCAACGAGCGCAACCCUCACUUUUAGUUGCCAUCAUUAAGUUGGGCACUCUGAAAGAACUGCCAGUGAUAAGCUGGAGGAAGGUGGGGAUGACGUCAAGUCCUCAUGGCCCUUACGUGUUGGGCUACACACGUGCUACAAUGGUAUCUACAACAGGACGCAAGACUGCGAGGUCGAGCAAAUCCUUAAAAGAUACCUCAGUUCGGAUUGCACUCUGCAACUCGAGUGCAUGAAGCUGGAAUUACUAGUAAUCGUGGAUCAGCGUGCCACGGUGAAUGCGUUCCCGGGUCUUGUACACACCGCCCGUCACACCAUGGGAGUUGGUUCUACCUUAA